rnacentral:rRNA from 1 species
GACGAACGCUGGCGGCGUGCUUAACACAUGCAAGUCGAACGGAAAGGCCCUGCUUUUGUGGGGUGCUCGAGUGGCGAACGGGUGAGUAACACGUGAGUAACCUGCCCUUGACUUUGGGAUAACUUCAGGAAACUGGGGCUAAUACCGGAUAGGAGCUCCUGCUGCAUGGUGGGGGUUGGAAAGUUUCGGCGGUUGGGGAUGGACUCGCGGCUUAUCAGCUUGUUGGUGGGGUAGUGGCUUACCAAGGCUUUGACGGGUAGCCGGCCUGAGAGGGUGACCGGCCAAAUUGGGAAUGGGGUACGGCCAAGACUCCUACGGGAGGCAGGAGUGGGGAAUAUUGCAAAAUGGGCGGAAGCCGGAUGCAGCAACGCCGCGGGGGGGAUGGCGGCCUUCGGGUGGUAAACCGCUUUCGCCUGUGACGAAGCGUGAGUGGCGGUAAGGGGUAAAGAAGCACCGGCUAAUUACGG